rfam:Marivita hallyeonensis strain DSM 29431 genome assembly, contig: Ga0131194_109
GGGGACCUUCGGGGCCCUACAACACGCCGGGUAAAUGCCCGGUCUACAUAGGCGGGGCAACCCGCCGUCUGCUAAACGGAAGACAGAAA